UGGGGAAUAUUGGACAAUGGGGGGAACCCUGAUCCAGCCAUGCCGCGUGUGUGAAGAAGGCCUUAUGGUUGUAAAGCACUUUAAGCGAGGAGGAGGGUACUGGUAUUAAUACUACCAGGUACUGGACGUUACUCGCAGAAUAAGCACCGGCUAACUCUGUGCCAGCAGCCGCGGUAAUACAGAGGGUGCGAGCGUUAAUCGGAUUUACUGGGCGUAAAGCGUGCGUAGGCGGCUAAUUGAGUCGGAUGUGAAAUCCCCGAGCUUAACUUGGGAAUUGCAUUGGAUACUGGUUAGCUAGAGUGUGGGAGAGGAUGGUAGAAUUCCAGGUGUAGCGGUGAAAUGCGUAGAGAUCUGGAGGAAUACCGAUGGCGAAGGCAGCCAUCUGGCCUAACACUGACGCUGAGGUACGAAAGCAUGGGGAGCAAACAGG
rnacentral:rRNA from 1 species